rnacentral:tRNA from 1 species
GAGGAUGUGGCUCAGUGGUAGAGCACUUGCCUAGCAUGUAUGAGGCACUGGGUUCAAUUCUCAGCACCACA